GAUGAACGCUGGCGGCGUGCCUAAUACAUGCAAGUCGAGCGAACAGAUGAGGAGCUUGCUCCUCUGACGUUAGCGGCGGACGGGUGAGUAACACGUGGAUAACCUACCUAUAAGACUGGGAUAACUUCGGGAAACCGGAGCUAAUACCGGAUAAUAUAUUGAACUGCAUGGUUCAAUAGUGAAAGACGGUUUUGCUGUCACUUAUAGAUGGAUCCGCGCCGCAUUAGCUAGUUGGUAAGGUAACGGCUUACCAAGGCAACGAUGCGUAGCCGACCUGAGAGGGUGAUCGGCCACACUGGAACUGAGACACGGUCCAGACUCCUACGGGAGGCAGCAGUAGGGAAUCUUCCGCAAUGGGCGAAAGCCUGACGGAGCAACGCCGCGUGAGUGAUGAAGGCCUUCGGAUCGUAAAACUCUGUUAUUAGGGAAGAACAAAUGUGUAAGUAACUAUGCACGUCUUGACGGUACCUAAUCAGAAAGCCACGGCUAACUACGUG
rnacentral:rRNA from 1 species